GUAGGUCAAUAUCGAUUUUAGUCGUCAUAAAAUGAUCGGAGGAAUGUGGCUUCGAUCUCGUAUCGGAGUGUUAUAGCCUUUGGUAGAUGUGACGAUUGGGAUCGAGGAUUGCAACGAAUACCCUUCGGGCUAUCCGUCUGACCUCUGAAAGUCGCUCGGGUGUCGAAAGCGUGCUUAUGACAUUCUUGUUGGCGGUCAAAAGGUUAGAACGCGAUUACAUUCGUUAAGGAUGUUGACGUAAUGGCUUUAAACGA
rnacentral:rRNA from 1 species